rnacentral:rRNA from 1 species
CCCUUAGAUGUUCUGGGCCGCACGCGCGCUACACUGACGAAUGCAACGAGCUUAUAACCUUGGCCGAAAGGUCUGGGUAAUCUCCAAAUUUCGUCGUGAUGGGGAUAGAUUAUUGCAAUUAUUAAUCUUCAACGAGGAAUGCCUAGUAGGCGCAAGUCAUCAGCUUGCGUCGAUUACGUCCCUGCCCUUUGUACACACCGCCCGUCGCUCCUACCGAUUGGGUGUGCUGGUGAAAUGUUCGGAUCGGCCGUUUGUCGCGGUUUCCGCGGCUCGUGGCUGAGAAGUUCAUUAAACCCUCCCACCUAGAGGAAGGAGAAGUCGUAACA